rnacentral:rRNA from 1 species
UACGGAGGGAGCUAGCGUUGUUCGGAAUUACUGGGCGUAAAGCGCACGUAGGCGGCUUUGUAAGUUAGAGGUGAAAGCCUGGGGCUCAACCCCAGAAUUGCCUUUAAGACUGCAUCACUUGAAUCCAGGAGAGGUGAGUGGAAUUCCGAGUGUAGAGGUGAAAUUCGUAGAUAUUCGGAAGAACACCAGUGGCGAAGGCGGCUCACUGGACUGGUAUUGACGCUGAGGUGCGAAAGCGUGGGGAGCAAACAGG